rnacentral:rRNA from 1 species
UACGUAGGGUGCAAGCGUUGUCCGGAAUUAUUGGGCGUAAGAGCUCGUAGGCGGUCUGUCGCGUCUGCUGUGAAAACUCGGGGCUUAACCCCGGGCCUGCAGUGGGUACGGGCAGACUAGAGUGCGGUAGGGGAGACUGGAAUUCCUGGUGUAGCGGUGAAAUGCGCAGAUAUCAGGAGGAACACCGGUGGCGAAGGCGGGUCUCUGGGCAGUAACUGACGCUGAGGAGCGAAAGCGUGGGGAGCGAACAGG